AUGUAUUUAAUAUAAAUAGUAUUUUAAGUUUCCACCUUAAGAGCCUCGACCCUCGAGAAUACAUA
rnacentral:tRNA from 1 species